rnacentral:rRNA from 1 species
GUGAACGCUGGCGGUAGGCCUAACACAUGCCAGUCGAACGGCAGCACAGUAAGAGCUUGCUCUUACGGGUGGCGAGUGGCGGACGGGUGAGGAAUACAUCGGAAUCUACUUUUUCGUGGGGGAUAACGUAGGGAAACUUACGCUAAUACCGCAUACGACCUACGGGCGAAAGCAGGGGAUCUUCGGACCUUGCGCGAUUGAAUGAGCCGAUGUCGGAUUAGCUAGUUGGCGGGGUAAAGGCCCACCAAGGCGACGAUCCGUAGCUGGUCUGAGAGGAUGAUCAGCCACACUGGAACUGAGACACGGUCCAGACUCCUACGGGAGGCAGCAGUGGGGAAUAUUGGACAAUGGGCGCAAGCCUGAUCCAGCCAUACCGCGUGGGUGAAGAAGGCCUUCGGGUUGUAAAGCCCUUUUGUUGGGAAAGAAAAGCAGCAGGUUAAUACCCCGCUGUUCUGACGGUACCCAAAGAAUAAGCACCGGCUAACUUCGUG